rnacentral:rRNA from 1 species
AUUGAACGCUGGCGGAAUGCUUUACACAUGCAAGUCGAGCGGCAGCGCGGGGGCAACCCUGGCGGCGAGCGGCGAACGGGUGAGUAACAUAUCGGAACGUACCCCGUCGUGGGGGAUAACACAGCGAAAGCUGUGCUAAUACCGCAUACGACCUGAGGGUGAAAGCGGGGGAUCGCAAGACCUCGCGCGAUGGGAGCGGCCGAUAUCGGAUUAGCUUGUUGGUGAGGUAAAGGCUCACCAAGGCGACGAUCCGUAGCUGGUCUGAGAGGACGACCAGCCACACUGGAACUGAGACACGGUCCAGACUCCUACGGGAGGCAGCAGUGGGGAAUUUUGGACAAUGGGGGCAACCCUGAUCCAGCCAUUCCGCGUGAGUGAAGAAGGCCUC